UCCAUUAUCUACUUUCUGCACUUGAUCAAAGAGGAUGGCCUUCCCUGAAAAGAGACGAACCGGUCUUCCGUGGAGUUUAUACGAGUAGCUGCCCUCCCCUGCUAGAACAUCCAAACAAGCUCUCAAGGCCAGGCAUUUUUUUGAUAUCCCGUGGAAUCCAAUC
ensembl:misc_RNA 7SK 7SK RNA